rnacentral:misc_RNA from 1 species
GAUGAAGAACGUAGCGAAAUGCGAUAAGUAAUGUGAAUUGCAGAAUUCAGUGAAUCAUCGAAUCUUUGAACGCACAUUGCGCCCGUCAGUAUUCUGGCGGGCAUGCCUGUUCGAGCGUCAUUACGCCCCUCAAGUCCCCUGUGGACUUGGUGUUGGGGAUCGGCGAGGCUGGUUUUCCAGCACAGCCGUCCCUUAAAUUAAUUGGCGGUCUCGCCGUGGCCCUCCUCUGCGCAGUAGUAAAACACUCGCAACAGGAGCCCGGCGCGGUCCACUGCCGUAAAACCCCCCAACUUUUUAUAGUUGACCUCGAAUCAGGUAGGACUACCCGUUGAACUUAAGCAUAUCAAUAAGCGGAGGA